rnacentral:miRNA from 2 species
UAGCCAAGAAUGGCUUGCCUA